AAUGAUAUCUGCGAAUAUAUAUAUUCCUACCAGAGCGGUGCUUCAUUUUUUCACCACUAUUAUUUGCUUUAUGUCUGUGUAUGCGUUAGAAAAAAAGAAAACCUGUUGUUUUUAUCAUAUAGUUGCAUUUGAUAUAUAGAUUCUCCAUUGAUAAUGAUCGCAUCACUUGGAGAAAUUGUUUGCAAUUUGGACUCUUCUUCCAGGCCGCGAAUGGAGAAUAUUAAUAGGAAUUUCAUGUAAAUGGAACUUGUGCUCGGGAAGCAAAUGUAACAUGAUGAGAAGUUCCAUCUAAAUUCACAUUCAAUUCACCUUCAUCACUUCGAGCACCAACUUGAGUUUCCACAUUGAAUUUUGGAAUAACACCUUGAUGACCUAUAGACUUGGAUGCGCAACCGGUCAAGUCUGUAUGCCAAGAAUUUGAAGAUAGUUUUAGGCUUUCUUGAGGUUGUUUGCUUGGGUUCCAAGCAGGAAAUAUCUUCAUUAUUAGGUAAUCAAUGAAGUCAGCAAUAAAAGCUACAUCAUGAUCAGCUAGCUGCAAUUGUUCAACCAUCUCAGCCGCAACUAAAGGUGCAGUGUCAGUGUCAAGAUAGAAAAUGAAGUGUAUAUUUCUUACACUACCUGCGAUAAGCAAAUGCUUGAAAUAAGAAAGAGGAUAUCUGAUUUCAUAAUGCUAAAAAAUAAAAUACCAUAAAAUAGGGGUAAUUGCAUGCACUUUUGGUCUCUUGAUUAUUAAUGAAUUUUGAUGUUGGUCCUUGUAAUAUUUGACUAGCGCAUUUAACCUUCGGUUAUUCCAUUUAUAUGGGAAAAUCAAAUAAGUGAUUUUUAGAACAA